rnacentral:rRNA from 2 species
ACGGGUGAGUAAUGCAUCGGGAUCUACCCUGACGUGGGGGAUAACCUCGGGAAACCGGGACUAAUACCGCAUACGUCCUACGGGAGAAAGCGGGGGACCUUCGGGCCUCGCGCGGCAGGACGAACCGAUGUGCGAUUAGCUAGUUGGCGGGGUAAUGGCCCACCAAGGCGACGAUCGCUAGCUGGUCUGAGAGGAUGAUCAGCCACACUGGGACUGAGACACGGCCCAGACUCCUACGGGAGGCAGCAGUGGGGAAUAUUGGACAAUGGGCGCAAGCCUGAUCCAGCAAUGCCGCGUGUGUGAAGAAGGCCUUCGGGUUGUAAAGCACUUUUAUCAGGAGCGAAAUACUACGGGUUAAUAACCCGUGGGGCUGACGGUACCUGAGGAAUAAGCACCGGCUAACUUCGUGCCAGCAGCCGCGGUAAUACGAAGGGUGCAAGCGUUAAUCGGAAUUACUGGGCGUAAAGGGUGCGUAGGCGGUUCGUUAAGUCUGUUGUGAAAUCCCCGGGCUCAACCUGGGAAUGGCAAUGGAUACUGGCGAGCUAGAGUGUGUCAGAGGAUGGUGGAAUUCCCGGUGUAGCG